GAUGAACGCUGGCGGCGUGCCUAAUACAUGUAAGUCGAGCGAACAGACGAGGCGCUUGCUCUUCGCACGUUAGCGGCGGACGGGCGAGUAACACGUGGAUAACCCACCUAUACGACUGGCACAACUUCGACAAACGGGCGCUAUAACCGGAUCAUACUUUCAACGGCUUGAGCAAGUAAUCAAAGCCGCUUUUCCGGUCACUUAUACUUGGACCAGCGCGGCUUUAGCUAGUUGGUAAGGUAACGGCUUACCAUGGCGACGAUGCGUAGCCGACCGAAGAGGGUGAUCGACCACACGGGAACUGGGCCUAGCUCCAGACUCCUACGGGAGGCAGCAGUAGGGAAUCGUCCGUAAUGGGCGAAGGCCUGCCGGAGCACCGCCGCGUGCGGGAUGAGGUUCCUCGGAUCGUAAAACUCUCUUAGUAGGGAAGAACAAAUGUGUAAGUAAAUAUGCACGUCUUGACGGUACCUAAGCAGAAAGCCACGGCUAACUACGUG
rnacentral:rRNA from 1 species